UACGGGAGGCAGCAGUGGGGAAUAUUGCACAAUGGGCGAAAGCCUGAUGCAGCUAUGCCGCGUGUAUGAAGAAGGCCUUAGGGUUGUAAAGUACUUUCAUCGGGGAGGAAAAACAAAACUAAUAAUUUUAUUUCUUGACGUUACCCGAAAAAGAAGCACCGGCUAACUCCGUGCCAGCAGCCGCGGUAAUACGGAGGGUGCUAGCGUUAAUCAGAAUUACUGGGCGUAAAGAGCACGUAGGUGGUUUUUUUAAGUCAGAUGUGAAAUCCCUGGGCUUAACCUAGGAACUGCAUUUUGAAACUGAAAUACUAGAGUAUCGUAGAGGGAGGUAGAAUUCUAGGUGUAGCGGUGAAAUGCGUAGAUAUCUGGAGGAAUACCUGUGGCGAAAGCGGCCUCCUAAACCGAAUACUGACACUGAGGGUGCGAAAGCGUGGGGAGCAAACAGGGAUUAGAUACC
rnacentral:rRNA from 1 species